rnacentral:lncRNA from 1 species
CAGAGACCACUGUGCAAGCCUAAUCACUUCCCAAGAAGGGUUUUGCUUUAAAGUUUUGUUAUGAGUUGCUAAAAUGGUGAAAUGCUGCUCCGCCAUUGGAUGUGCUUCUCGCUGCUUGCCAAAUUCGAAGUUAAAAGGACUGACAUUUCACGUAUUCCCCACAGAUGAAAACAUCAAAAGGAAAUGGGUAUUAGCAAUGAAAAGACUUGAUGUGAAUGCAGCCGGCAUUUGGGAGCCUAAAAAAGGAGAUGUGUUGUGUUCGAGGCACUUUAAGAAGACAGAUUUUGACAGAAGUGCUCCAAAUAUUAAACUG